UGUGUACAAGGGGUGAAGCCUGCGGUUCAAUUGGAGUCAACGCCGGAAACCUUACCAAGGGUGACAGCAGGAUGAAGGUCACUCUAAAGAAAUUACCAGACGAGCUGAGAGGAGGUGCAUGGCCGUCGCCAGCUCGUGCCGUGAGGCGUCCUGUUAAGUCAGGAAACGAGCGAGACCCCCACUGCAAGUCGCUAUCAUUACCCGAAAGGGUGAUGGGGCUAAUUUGCAGGACCGCCAUCGCUAAGAUGGAGGAAGGAGGGGGCCACGGCAGGUCAGUAUGCCCCGAAUCCCCUGGGCCACACGCGGCAUACAAUGGCAGGGACAAUGGGCUGCCACCCCGAAAGGGGGAGCUAAUCCCCAAACCCUGCCUCAGUUGGGAUCGAGGGUUGCAACCCACCCUCGUGAACCCGGAAUCCCUAGUAAUCGCGCGUCACCAACGCGCGGUGAAUACGUCCCUGCUCCUUGUACACA
rnacentral:rRNA from 1 species